rnacentral:rRNA from 1 species
UACGUAGGGUGCGAGCGUUGUCCGGAAUUAUUGGGCGUAAAGAGCUUGUAGGCGGGUUGUCGCGUCUGCCGUGAAAGCCCAGGGCUUAACCCUGGGUCUGCGGUGGGUACGGGCAGACUAGAGUGUGGUAGGGGAGACUGGAAUUCCUGGUGUAGCGGUGAAAUGCGCAGAUAUCAGGAGGAACACCGGUGGCGAAGGCGGGUCUCUGGGCCGAUACUGACGCUGAGGAGCGAAAGCGUGGGGAGCAAACAGG